rnacentral:rRNA from 1 species
UACGAAGGGGGCUAGCGUUGCUCGGAAUCACUGGGCGUAAAGGGUGCGUAGGCGGGUCUUUAAGUCAGGGGUGAAAUCCUGGAGCUCAACUCCAGAACUGCCUUUGAUACUGAGGAUCUUGAGUACGGGAGAGGUGAGUGGAACUGCGAGUGUAGAGGUGAAAUUCGUAGAUAUUCGCAAGAACACCAGUGGCGAAGGCGGCUCACUGGCCCGUAACUGACGCUGAGGCACGAAACGCGUGGGGAGCAAACAGG